rnacentral:rRNA from 1 species
AUGGAAGCAAUUGUGAAGGCAAGAAAAGAAGCCAACGAGGUGAGGAAAAUGAUAAGGAACCAAGAUGUCGCGGCCGAGGAGAGGAGGUUGGCGGCCGAGGAGAGGAGGGUGACGGCCGAGGAGAGAAAGGUGGCUUUGGAGGAGAGGAAGGUGAGCAAUGAGGAGCGUACUAGAUUGUUGGAAUGGGAGAAGCACUUGUUUUUCUUGGACGCAUCUAACCUCAAUGUGGCGCAAAAGGAGUAUGUCAAUCUUGCCCGUGAAUAA